UCCAAGGUCAACCAAACAAGGGCUAAAAGAAAGAGCUUUAUUGAAUGUCACCCAACAGGGGAGCAAGAGGCCUGCUCAGAUCUGUCUCCCCAGCUGGUCACAAGCAGGGUGUUCAAGGACGUUGGGAGUUGAUGGGUCUGAUGCUGUCUCGGUCUUGAUGAGAUCCAUCUUGGUUUUAGUCUGUGACUGAGGCUCCCAGCCUGUCUGUGUGCCCACCCUGUCUAAGGCCCUGGGUGUGAGACUUCUAGCUCAGCCUAGCUCAGGGUCAUCUGCAGGGCAGACUUGAAGCUGCUUCCCAGGAAAGCGUGGUCUGCCCGCAAAGAUCUUACACCACAGCCAGAUAUGAGGAAGUUAGGGCCUGAGGGGUGGCUGUGGGGUAGAGCACUUACCCAGCCCUGGGUUUGAUUCCAGGACUGAAAAAGGGAAAUAGAAACAUUACUAUUAAAAAAAAAAAAGCCCUGACAGUAGGGCAAGAUCUGAGCUCUGUUCUGACUUUCUUUCUUCUUGGUGCUGGGAACGGAACUCAGGGCCUCACGCGUGCCAGGCUCUAUUCUGGGCUACAUCUGCAGCGCUGAUUUGGGCUUUUUACAGGCAGGAGAAGUAAGGAGCUCCACAGAACCAGAGAAGUGGGAAGUUCAAGGGUUGGUGAGCAUGAAGGAGACCUCGGCUGCCGCGCCCUCCAGGGAGCCUGGGAGACGGCCUCCUCUUCUGAGGUUGCAUUCUGAGUUCCUGGUCCUUGAGAGAUGCUUCUGUGCUGGAAGAGACACCCACUCACAAUCCAGGCCCUCCAGCCAGGACUUGGGGUCAAAGGUGCCGGCAGUCAGCGCCCUCCUGGUCCAUCGUGAGGUAGAGGGAAAUAGCCCAUUACAAAUGAAUUUCUUUGGCACAUUUUGAAUUAGAAAAACAAACCUUCUGCAGACACAGAAGUGGCUUUGAAAGGCUGCCCUCUGGUAAGUUUAAAGGAAGUCUGCGUGGGGACCACAACUGCAGUGGGGGACGGAAACAGCUUCUGUAGCUUCUGCCCACUUUCAACCUGAAAGAUCUUUCCACUGGGGGAGGAGACCUGGGGCAUGCCAUGGCCCAGACACACUGCCACAGGGGCCGGUACCUGGGAGGCCUCCUCUGCCCGGCAAGACGGCGGCCUCCCUCAAGGGGUAAGAUGGCUAUCUUCUUUUC
rnacentral:lncRNA from 1 species